rnacentral:rRNA from 1 species
UAGUUGGGCACUUUAAGGUGACUGCCGGUGACAAACCGGAGGAAGGGGGGGGUGACGUCAAAUCCUCCUGCCCCUUAUGACCUGGGGUACCCACGUGGUUCAAUGGGCGGUACAAAGAGGUGCAAGACCGCGAGGUGUGGGUAAUUUUAUAAAACCGUUUUCCUUUCGGAUUGGUGGGUGCAAAUUGCCUAACAGUAGGUGGAAUUGGUUGUAAUUGCGGAUCAGCAUGCCGCGGUGAAUACGUUCCCGGGCCUUGUACACACCGCCCGUCACCCCCCGAGAGUUUGUAACACCCGAAGUCGGUGGGGUAACCUUUUGGAGCCAGCCGCUAAGGGACAGAUUU